GGGCGUGUCACGGAGGCUCCCCUGGGAUCACGGUCACCAAAACUCCCGCAGGCCUUUCCCCGGGGAGACCGGGGGCCUGUUACCAGCAGUCACCGCCCUGCCUUGACUGCCUGGGUGAAUCAGGUGCUAAUCAGAGCCUUGGUCUUGGCAGCUCCCCUGUCUGGGUUUUCUGAGUGCGCCGGAUUUAGGCCGGGUGGGGGGAUUCCUACGGCCCUGCCCCACCCACGAAGACCGAGAAGGCUCACCCGGUGGCGAAAGGUGGGCUCGGUGACUCAUCUCUGGGAUGACCUCACCUCCCGACCCCAGCGGAGCAGAUGUCCAGAUCUCAGACCUCAUACCGCGACUUUGGACGGCUAGUGCGUUCCCUUCUUCACAUUAUAAACUGGCUCGAGUAGGUGCAUGGGUGUGUUGAUUCAAGUGCUUCUGGAAAGCCCCUUCCCUUGCUAAGCACCAUGGUAAUGUCCGCAUCGUGUUUCUGCCUGGGUUGGAAUACUCUCUAACACAAUUGUCAAUGCCUGCACGUCGUGGAAGCUUGAUAAUUGUUAAAUGGACAGAUGCAUCACUCUGACCACUUGAGAGAUUUUCAGGUUCAACUCUUAUGCUGAGCUGGUGCCACGCAAUUUCCAGGCUCCUUCCUGUCCUCUUCCUUCAUUCCUUAUAGCCCCUGAUAAUGGAAAGAAGGGAGAGACAAAGACUCCUAGAAGAAGCUGGCUUUUGUCACGUUUAAGGUAGAAUUUGUUCAUUUGUAUUCUCUCUUAUUAAUAAAAUUGUUAAG